CACGAAGAUCUGUACGUUUCACAAGAGUCUGUGUAAAAGUAACAAAAUCUUGACACUUGAACUUCGUAAAACGUGGCGUGGUCGUGGUUUAAUCGAAGAAGUACCUCGACAGGGAUCUUAAAUGAUUCGCGAGCAGCUAUCGGUCCCGAAACUUGACGAUUCGACGACUCACGGGUCCUCCGUCUAUCGGGAUCGUCCGAUUAUUUAUACUAUAAGCAAAAUACCCACGAGCUCCCGGGCACACUCGUAAUUCGAACGAGGGAUCACCGCUGGCCUGUCAAAAAACGAAAUACCAUCCGGUCCGCUUCGAGCCUCCACGUCCACUCGAGUGUGGUAUAUUAUGAAUGAACCAACGGGUGCAGAGAGAAGAGAGAGAGUGACUCGAGUCUCUCGAGCCUCUCCAGGCUCAAUGGAACCGAGAGAAAAAUCCGUGUGGUCAUUUUUCGAAUGCACAAUGAGCAGUCGCCUCUCGCCUCUCGGGUUCCUGCGCUCUCCGUCCGCCCUGAUCGAAUCUGCGUGUUGCUGCGUCACAACAGUGACACACACUGCCUCGGUAUUCCUGGGAGGGGAGAACCGAGAAACGUGAAGACGCCUGGUGAACGGAAAGGUGAAAGAGAAAGAACUUGGACGCGGCUCACAAUGAGCAUCGCCGAUGACUUAGCGUCGAGGAAGGAGGCCCCCGUUAGGGCUAUUUAUGCGAUCUCAUUCCGAGACGAGGUGACACGGCCACGUCGCCGUAAACAAUGCCGUUUCACGAGGGAAGAAUGUCCACUGAUUCGAUUAACGGCGAUGAUUGGUUGGUAUCUUGCCUUUGGUCCUCGAGACUCUUUGGAAUUCUUUCUUUCGAGAAAGAGGAGAGGCUUCUGGGAACCGUGCCUAGGAACGUUCCAGUGAUGGAACUGGAAGUGAAGCGUCGAGCCAGGUAGCUAGUUAUCGUAAAUUUGUGGAAAUGGCGGAAAGGCACGUAGGAGACACUCGAUACCCCUUGCCUCGAUCACGAAGCUUCUCGAUCGAUCAUGCGAAAGCGUGAUCCAGACGGCGUUGGGUGAAUCGUUGGAUCCAUCGGUCAAGUCGUUGACAUUUUGACGAGGCGCAAGGAACGUCUGGCGUCACGUAAAAAAGCCGUUCGUCUUCGGGAAGGCAUCCACCCACCGUCGACAGGUCUGACGCCUUCCGAGGGCCUGAUGUGAGGUCUCCGGGACGCGGACCACACGCGCACAUACACACGCGCGAGGGUUUGAAGGGUCUUCAGCCGUCAGAAGCCGUUUCGAAACUUAACGGACGUUAAUUACGACUCGGUCAAUUUCUGUAAUUGGGCUCGCUCACUGGCUGCGAUUUAUUCCUACUCGACUUUCGUGCAGAUGUUGGCCAAUCCGCGACGAUUAUCGAUGGAGUCUCGAUACCGGCUAUUGAAAAACUCCGGUUUCUGUUUUUUCUUUAUAUCCACAGGACCGCUGUAUCUCCGUGUAAUGAACAAUUUCACGGCCUGCCUUGGUCGUUAGGGGAGCCCUGUUAGGUGUUAACGACCAGCGGAAACGAUUCUUGGUCACGAUCCCGCCCACCGAUUUUAGCGGAACAGGAAAGUGUCGUCGGAUAGGUGACCGUCCUUCAGGAAGUAAAUGAUCGAGAAACCAAGCUCCGUUUGUGUAAACACGACGGUUUGUCGGAGAACCAUGUUCGUUUAAAUACAGUAGCCGUGAUUUACAAAGGAGUCGAUGUCAUACCUUCAGAUUCACUCUAAAUUGCAAUGCUCGUUUUUUAUAAAAUUUCUUGUAGGAGCCCCGAUACAUUCAAUC